AUGUCGUCAUGGGUGGUGGAUAUGGAGAAGAAGGUCCAGGGCGCUGAGCCGCCGGCGAAGGUGGAGAAAUGGCGGAAACACUGCAUCUUCCGCGUCCCGUUGCGCUUCAAGGUGAUCGAUGGCAGGGUGAGCAGCGUAUACAAACCGCAGACAGUAUCUUUGGGCCCAUUCCACCACGACGACAAGGAGCUGAAACCCAUAGAGGAGCACAAGCUGAGGGCCGUACAUCACCUCCUCCAACGGGACAGCUGCAAGACCACCCUUUCCGAGCUCGUCGCCACCAUGGAGAAGGUGGGUGAGGAGCUUGAGGAUGCCUACAUGGAACUGGGUGAUGAGUGGCGGGGCGAGGAGAACAGGGGCAAGUUCCUGGAGAUGAUGAUCAUCGACGGUUGCUUCCUACUGGAGGUGAUGAGGACGGCCAUAGGUGGGAAGAACACCAUUCCCAAGGACUACGAGCAGGGUGACCCUGUCUUCAGCUGGCAUGGCAUCCAGCACAUCAAGCCGUUCGUCCAACGCGACAUGCUGCUGGUCGAGAACCAGCUGCCACUCAGGUUGCUCGAGAAAAUCGUCACCGCAGAGAGCGGCAGAUUUCCGAGUGCGUCUUCGACCAAUUCCAUGGUGCUUAAAUUCCUGGAAGGCAAAGAUAAACCCGAAGGGUCCGAUGAGUUGGGACUCCACCCGCUCGACAUAUACCGAAGGAGCCAGCUCAAGGGCCAUCUGAGGCCUUAUCAGAGGGACAGAGGUGGCGUGGAGAACACCAUACCGACAGCCAAUGCCGCCAAUGCUCGUCUCGACGGAGUGGUGCCCCGAUCGGCGUGGAAAUUGUGUGAGGCGGGGAUCCGGUUCAUGCCCAGCAAGACAGCCUUCCUCGACGACAUCAACCUGGACAAUGGCAGGCUCUACAUGCCCAAGUUCCAACUCGACGACUCCACCGCCUACAAGUUCCACAACAUGAUGGCGUUCGAGGCGAUGCACGUCAGCACUGAAAAUGACGUGACGGCCUACGCGCUCUUUGUCAAGGACCUCGUGGACUCCGCCCAAGACGUGCGCCUGCUUGUGAAUAAAAGGAUCCUUGAGCAUGACCUCGCCGAUGACGACGAUGCCGUGGUGAAGCUCUUCAACGGCCUCACUAGGGAUGUGUACAAGAACUGGGAGAGUAACUUGUGCCGCGUGCGUGAGGACGUGCAGUACCACUACAUCGGCAACCCCCCACGCAUCCUCAUGUACAAGUGGUGGGUAAACCUCAAGAACAGGUACUUCAAGAGCCCGUGGACGCUCCUUGCCUUCAUCACCGCAAUCUUGCUCGUCGUCGGAGACAUCAUGCAGGCUGUGUUUGCAGUCUUAUCCUAUUAUAAACCUGACAAGGAUAAGCCCAAAAUGCCUUAA
rnacentral:rRNA from 1 species